AUUCCAACAGAAAAACACAACACAAAUAUUUACAUUUGAAUUUACAGUACAUUAAAUCAUUUAGCUGACAUGUUCAUGAGGACUAACACUCAAGCUACAUCGCAAAAGUAGGGUAAAAAAAGGGUAAAAAUUCAUGCUACUUUUACAAAUAUCACCAAGACAACCAGAGUGUGCAGAAGUUUAAGUAAAAACACAGACACAGGGUCUCUCUCUUAGACAGCCUAUGUCUGGAUGGCAUCUCUUAGCCUUGGACAAUCCUUGAGAAGACAAUUUAUGAAGCACAAUUUAAGAUGUAUGGGAGUAUGACACAGUUCAGAGAUGAGUUCAGCAUGACUAAUUUUAGUAAGAAAUCUGAAUAAAAAAAUGUUUGUUUAAAAAAAAUAGAUU